rnacentral:tRNA from 1 species
CAGGUAGCUCAGUUGGUAGAGCAGCGGACUGAAAAUCCGCGUGUCGGUGGUUCAAAUCCGCCCCUGG